rnacentral:rRNA from 1 species
UAGAGUUUGAUCCUGGCUCAGAUUGAACGCUGGCGGCAGGCCUAACACAUGCAAGUCGAACGGUAGCACAGAGAGCUUGCUCUCGGGUGACGAGUGGCGGACGGGUGAGUAAUGUCUGGGAAACUGCCCGAUGGAGGGGGAUAACUACUGGAAACGGUAGCUAAUACCGCAUAACGUCGCAAGACCAAAGUGGGGGACCUUCGGGCCUCACACCAUCGGAUGUGCCCAGAUGGGAUUAGCUAGUAGGUGGGGUAAUGGCUCACCUAGGCGACGAUCCCUAGCUGGUCUGAGAGGAUGACCAGCCACACUGGAACUGAGACACGGUCCAGACUCCUACGGGAGGCAGCAGUGGGGAAUAUUGCACAAUGGGCGCAAGCCUGAUGCAGCCAUGCCGCGUGUAUGAAGAAGGCUUUCGG